rnacentral:lncRNA from 1 species
UCGGCAAGUGGCACGAACGCAUCAACCACCUGUGAUCAAUAGCAUUGUAAGGUAAAUGUUUCUGGCCACACUUCAAUUAGCAGACUCUGAUAAACUAGGCUAUGAAGGUGGAGGAUGCACUAUUUCAUACCUUGAGUCCACCAGGCUUAUCCCCGAAGCUGUUAACUUGACCUCUUCUAGAGUUCAAAUCACCAAUAACAUCGCCCAGAUGGUCUUCAGGAGUUACCACUUCAACUCUCAUUAUAGGCUCCAGAAGUCUUGGACCAGCUUUCCUCAUUCCUUCACGGAAAGCGCCUCUGGCUGCAAUUUGGAAUGCUAAGACACUUGAAUCAACAUCAUGGUACGAGCCAUCAACCAGCACUGCUCGGAAGUCCACAACUGGGUAACCGGCAAGGACACCGUUGGGUAAGCUUUCUUCCAAUCCCUUCAUAACUCCUGGUACAUAUUCUUUGGGCACUGACCCUCCCUUGAUUUCACUCUUGAAUUCGUACCCACUUCCAGCUUCCAAAGGUUCAAAGCGCACAAUAAUGUCUGCAAACUGCCCAGAUCCACCAGACUGCUUUUUGUGGACGUAUUGUACUUCUGCGACUUUGGAAAUACUUUCACGGUAGUUGACUUGUGGAGCUCCAACGUUUGCUUC